CGACUGCAGAGCUCAUGGACAUCCAUCAGGAAGCCUCCAAUACCCAAACCAGAGACAGAGGAGCAAAAGGACCUCUCCUUGUGUGAUGCUGGCUAACAUCCCACUGGCCAAAACAGGUUACAUGUUAGGUGCAAAGGGGUAGUUGCCUAAUCCAUAUCCAUGUGGAUAGCUCUUUACUUAGGAAACCUUGAUGGCUUAUUUGGAUGACAAAGAUAUAAGAACUGGUACUGAAGCAGCCAUCUUGUGACCAUAAGGAAGAAGCCAAGAACAUCAGAACCAGUGGCCUAGCCAUUGCACAGUCAUCUAAACACACCUCUGGACUUGUU
rnacentral:lncRNA from 10 species